rnacentral:lncRNA from 1 species
UGUUUUUUUUUGUAGUGUUGGGAUAUCAAGGUCAUAUAGCCAGUUGGUAAAAUCAGUACAUGCAUCGCCAGAACAAGGGUCGUAGAUGUUAGCUAAUGUCCAUUUUUGUGCGGAUUGCGUGCUAAUAAAAUCAAGGGAAAAUUUUGUUUUUGCCACUCUAGAUUUUGCCAAUUUUUCUUAUGCCACUCUAGAUUUUGACAUUUCACUUUUGCCACUCUUAGAUUUUGACAAUUAUCACAAUUGCCAUUCUGUGGCAAAAGCAAAAUAAUUUUAUUUCAUUUAUGCCACUCUUAGCUUUUGACAAUUAUCACAAUUGCCACUCUCAACAUUUUGCUUUUGCCACGGGAAUGGCAAUUGUGAUAAUUGUCAAAAACUAAGAAUGGCAAAAGUGAAAUGUCAAAAUCUAGAGUGGCAUAAGGAAAAUUGGCAAAAUCUAGAGUGGCAAAAACAAAAAUUUCCCUAAAAUCAAUCACCGGGGCGUAUGAAUCAGAAAAUACCACAGACCCAGUGAAAACAGAGCCUUUCCAAAUGACAAUUAAACCCCCAGAAGCACCUUGCGAGGGAACAUAAGCAAAUUGGUCGAAUUGUCUAGGACAUCAAGACUUAAUAAAAGGCAAAUCAAAAGAGGUCUUUUUUGUCUCCUGCAAACAGACAAUGGAGCAACCGCUAGAGCGAAUGGCUUACUAAGGGCGAGCUGUUUAUCCUCAGAGUUCAGCCCACGAAUGUUCCAACAGAGAACAUUCCAGCUACUCAAAAGAACCACAAGGGGCAGGUGAUUUAAGCAGCAAGCGAAGCUGGGGCGCCCACAUGAUCUUCAGGCGGUGGAGUGUCUGCAGUCAGGGCUAGCAUAGCAGAAGUUUCAGCAAGCAUGAUUGCUUCAGUUACCUCUUCGGUAGGGACAGCACACCUAUUUAUGGCAAUGUCUUGUAUGGUGCUGAUUGGAGUGGGGGGGGUCGUCUCAGACUACUGACCAGAAGUGUGAGCAGACGAAGAAGAUCCAAUGGAGGGGAUCACCCUGGGCUUCACCUUGGAGUUAAUAGGGCGUGCAUCAGAAAGAGGUGGCACCCUGAAACCAUUAUACCUGGUGGAGCGAUUGCUACGACGAACUUCAGCGGUGGAGACUGGAGUUGGAGCACGAGCACGACGACCGCGAGUUAGAACAGGGCCAGAAAUGUUGUCAGUGUCAUUCACAGCAGCGAGGCCAAGGUUAUCCCUCAGCAACCUGGGAGAGGGCGCAUCUGACGGAAGAGAAGCCAAGUCGUUCAUCGAGCUGUCAGCAGGCAGCGACGUCAGAGGUAGCAUGGCAGUAUUGUUAACAAAAGACUCCAGAGCCUGGGGCUGGGAUGGAUCAAUGUCUCUGAUCUCCUCCAAAACCACAGAGGAAGGAGGCGGGGUAAGCUGAUUGAACUGAAUACCAAGAGCAUCAGUGGACACAGUGAUGGACACGAGGUUGGUGUUAUUCUGAAGGCCAUAACCAGAACUCCACGGGCCAAUGGUGGCAAUCACAGGACGCAGGGCAUGAAAGAUCAUGUAGUUGAGCUGCUGCCUUGGAACGGGGUCUGCUAACAAGAGGCUGAUCAUAUCAUUUCCUUGAGCAGAAAGGCCAAACUGGAUCCCUUGGUUGUGCAGAGCCACAGUGGCAGUGACAAUAGACUGAAUCUCAUUCUGAACCGGAGCCUCACUCUGAAUCUCAUUCUGAACCUGAAGCGUGGUUGCAGUCUGAACCUGAAGAGUGGCUGCAGGUGGAAAAACUAUCAGAACAGGGCUGUCAGAGCUAUCAUCAGAAGAGUAGAAAGUAUCAUUCCAUGCUUCCAUGGCAUUGUAAGUGAUGUUGUUCUCAGGAACCACUCCAUGAUGAACUGCAAGCCCUUGUGGAGCAAGCCAGGCCUGGUAAUUAACAAGGUGAGGCGGCAUUGGUGGUGCAGGAGGGGCAGGCCACUCUCCCCAAGCCGCAUUAUGAUGGGCAAGUUGAUCAUUCUCAUUGUGGGCGUCUCCAGCAUUUGGUGCAGCGCUUUGCACUAACCAGUUGUGCACUUGCUGUUGAUAAGAGUUGUUCAGCAGUCAGUUCAAGCCCAAAUUGGGGCUGAGGGUUUCCAUCGGGUGGAGGUGGUUCUUCCCCGGCUAGAAGAACUUCAGGAAGCAGCCCGUUCCAGUCAUUGCUGCGGAGGAUAGUGAUUUGCACAGUCCAGCAAUCUCUGGCUCCACCAAGUUGCCACACAACAAAGCUCUUAGGGAUUAAACGCAGCCUAAUAACACGAGCCUUGAUCAGCAUAAAACUCCUAUCUUGCCGGGGGUUGUACCAGGAGACAAGAGAUCCAUAUCCACCCAACGCCUUGGUGAUGUAGUAAUCGGUCUGAUAAUCAUAAGGGAAUCCGGAAAACAUGAGCCAAACCUCUGGGCCGAACAAAGUGGUGCGGCGAUUGAGCGCCUCAUUGUGGGGCACGAAAGUGAUGAGCAGAUCUUCAUCCUCAAGCUCCAGCGGUGUGUUGAUAGCAGUAUCCCGCAUGAACGAGUCGACGAAGCCGAAGAGACCAAUCCCAAAAGGGUGGUCACUGCACUCGGUGGUGAAGAGAUGAGAUUCAUGUAGUAAUCCCUCGACCGCAGUGCGGAUGGCCGCGCGGCGAUGCAGAGGAACAUAGGUGCUGGCCUCUGCCAUAGCAAGAAAAUCAUGGUUGAGCGGGGGGAUCCGACCGACGACCAUCCCACUGCGGACCAGACGAUCGGCAAGGCCAGGUUCCACGGCGAAGCCCGGCGGCAGGAACGGCACCGGGUUGAGGGGGUAAUUCGCCAUGGCUAAGGUGGUGGAGGUGGGCGGUGGAGUCUGCUACGCUGAUGGGACUGGACGAGGUGGUGGCGCUGGGAGAACCGAGACAGAAGUUGGACCAUGAGGGGUAGGAGUGGCCGAUUGAAUAGCCUUAGGUCUCCACUGCCAUUUUUUGCUGAAUAGUAACUUGCGACAGGAUUUCGCCACGUGUCCAUAGAAACCACAACUAGUGCAUCGGACGGACAGAAUGGAUUUUGGCUUAGAAGGAAGCAAAUUGGGGGGAGCAGGGUUAGCGGGCUCACAAUUUUUGUUACCAAACAAUACAUCCUGAGAAUUGACAGUGAGAUUCUUUCCUUUAGACUGGCAAUUAGCAGAUUUGUGGCCCGGAGCAGAGCAAUUAAUGCAAAUCAAGCGAGCUUGGCAAGAUAAUUUUUGGUGCCCCAUUGGAGGUAGCGAGAGCAAAGUGACGCCCAAUAAGAAGAUAAAUCCUGAAUUUCCUUAUGAUAAUAAUGGGCCUGGGCCAGGUCAGCUUUAUGAUGGGCCAAAAGCCUCGCGGGCCACAUGUCAUGCGGGGGUGCAUAUUUAAAAGCCGAUAACAGAAAACAUUGAGGCAGCGGUGGGUAGGGCACUGAUAGAGGGCAAUUAAAUUCUCCCAUCUUAAUGCAGUCUAAAUGUUGUCGCUCUUCAAUCUCUGAUAGGCGCAAAAAAUGCUCCAUUAAUGACGUGUGAUUUUCAAACUCCAUGAUCAUCGGGGAAGAAUCCGAAUUUUGAAUGUGAUGCACCAAAGAACCUUGAACACGAUCCAAACCAUGGGCAUCCAAAGGUGGUUGAUCAGGCGAUGGCCGAGAUGCCAACGAUGAGGAAGCUUCAGCAGCAUUAUCAUUAGAAAACCUCAUAUGAUCAAUAGUUAUUAACCCAAAUUUGCAAAGAACCACCUUGGACUUUUCAGCCAAGAUUGAGCCAUGAUGGAAAAACUCCAAAGAAGAUUUCAGCGCCCACGGUUUCCGCGUAGAACCAGAAGUUCUUCAUCCGCAUGCCAGGCCGAAGCAAAAAUAGGAGCUCGUGAGAAACGCCCAUUGAACAGAUGAAAAUGGCAAACGAAAUCAGGCCAGACAUGAUCUUUGAGGCGGUAAAUAAAAUGCACAACUUUGUUAUUUGCCACAGAGAAGCGAAAUGACUGGGCAUUGAUCUGAGUAACACAGAAUCCCGAGCUAAUACCACCAAUACAACAUUGGAGCGCCACUCCAACAGAAUCCACAGAAAGAGUGAAAGAGGCAGAUGAGAAGGAGACCACCAAAAAGAAUUCCUUGGAGUCCCGAGAAGGUGAGAAAUGCACGGUGGAUCCAAACCUUUUUAUCACCUGAUCUGCAAGGGCUAAGCCAGGGGCAAAAUCCCAAUGCAGAAGACCUUCCAUGAUGAACUAGAUUAGAGAACGCCAUGAGGAACGAUGGACGGUGGAGAGGAGAGCGUGGUGGGAGGGAAGCAUGGUUCUCCUACUGGUUCGUUGCAAAUGCCCGAGUUGAGAGAUAUGAAUUCUCCAACAAGUUCUAUACCUGCAAGAUGGUGGAGAACAGUUCUGUCAGUGAACACAUACUCAGAAUGUCUGGGUACCAAACCACUUGACUCAGCUGGGAGUUAAUCUUCCAGAUGAUAGUGUUAUUGACAGAGUUCUUCAAUCACUUCCACCAAGCUACAAAGGCUUCGUAAUGAACUAUAAUAUGCAAGGGAUGGAAAUGACUAUUCCCGAGCUCUUUGCAAUGCUCAAAGUUGCGGAGGUGGAAAUCAAGAAGGAGCAUCAAGUGUUGAUGGUUAACAAGACCACUAGUUUCAAGAAAAAGAGCAAAGGAAAGAAGGGGAACUUCAAGAAGAAUAGAAAGCAAGUUGCUGCUCCCGGGAAGAAGCCCAAGUCUAGACCUAAGCCUGAAACUAAGUGCUUCUACUGCAAAGGGACUGGUCACUGGAAGCGGAACUGCCCCAAGUAUUUGGCGGAUAAGAAGGAUGGCAAAGUGAACAAAGGUAUAUUUGAUAUACAUGGUAUUGAUGUGUUCCUUAAUAAUGCUCGUAGUAGCGCCUGGGUACUUGAUAUCGGUUCUGUUGCUACUAUUUGCAACUUGAAACAGGGGCUACAGAUUAAACGAAGAUUGGCUAAGGACGAGGUGACGAUGUGCAUCAGAAAUGCUUCCAAGGUCGAUGUGAUCCCCGUCGGCACGCUACCUCUACAUCUACCUUCGGGGUUAGUUUUAGACCUGAAUAAUUGUUAUUUGGUGCUAGCGUUGAGCAUGAACAUUAUAUCUGGAUCUUGUUUGAUGCGAGACGGUUAUUCAUUUAAAUCAGAGAAUAAUGGUUGUUCUAUUUAUAUGAGUAAUAUCUUUUAUGGUCAUGCACCCUGUAUGAGUGGUCUAUUUUGUUGAAUCUCGAUUGUGGUGAUACACAUAUUCAUAAUAUUGAUGCCAAAAGAUGCAAAGUUGAUAAUGAUAGUGCAACAUAUUUGUGGCACUGCAGUUCAGGUCAUAUUGGUGUAAAGCGCAUGAAGAAACUCCAUGCGGAUGGACUUUUGUAAUCACUUGAUUAUGAAUCAUUUGAUUCCUGCGAGCCAUGCCUCAUGGGCAAGAUGACUAAGACUCCGUUCUCGGGAACAAUGGAGCGAGAAACUGACUUAUUGUAAAUCAUACAUACCUAUGUGGUCCGAUGAGUGUUGAGGCUCACGCUGAGUAUCGUUAUUUUCUAACCUUCACAGAUGAUUUGAGCAUAUAUGGGUAUAUCUACUUAAUGAAAUACAAAUCUGAAACAUUUGAAAAGUUCAAAGAUUUUCAGAGUGAAGUGGAAAAUCAUCGUAACAAGAAAAUAAAGUUUCUACGAUCUGAUCGCGGAGGCGGAUAUUUAAAUUACGAGUUUGGUCUUCAUUUAAAACAAUGUGGAAUAGUUUCACAACUCACGCCACCUGGAACACCAUAGCGUAAUGGUGUGUCCGAAUGUCAAAACCGUAUUUUAUUAGAUAUGGUGCGAUCUAUGAUGUCUCUUACCGAUUUACCACUAUCAUUUUGGGGUUAUGCAUUAGAGACAGUUGCAUUCACGUUAAAUAGGGCACCAUCUAAAUUCGUUGAGACGAUACCGUAUCAACUGUGGUUUGUCAAGAAACCUAAGCCGUCAUUUCUUAAAGUUUGGGGUUGCGAUGCUUAUGUGAAAAAGCUUCAGCCUGAUAAGCUCGAACCCAAAUCGGACAAGUGCAUCUUCAUAGGAUACCCAAAAGAAACUGUUGGGUACACCUUCUAUCACAGAUCCGAAGGCAAGAUAUUUGUUGCUAAGAAUGGAUCCUUUCUAGAGAAGGAGUUUCUCUCGAAAGAAGUGAGUGGGAGGAAAGUAGAACUUGAUGAGGUAAUUGUACCUUCUCUUGAAUUGGAAAGUAGUUCAUCAUAGAAAAUUGUUCCUAUGAUGCCUACACCAAUUAGUGAGGAAGCUAAUGAUGAUGAUCAUGAAACUUCAGAUCAAGUUACUACCGAACCUUGUAGGUCAACCAGAAUAUAUCCAACACCUGAGUGGUAGGGUAAUCCUAUUCUAGAAGUCAUGUUACUAGACCAUGACGAACCUAUGAACUAUGAGGAAGUGAUGAUGAGCCCAGAUUCCGCGAAAUGGCUUGAGGCCAUGAAAUCUGAGAUGGGAUCCAUGUAUGAGAACAAAUUGUGGGCUUUGGUUGACUUGCCCGAUGAUCGGCAAGCCAUAGAGAAUAAAUGGAUCUUCAAGAAGAAGACUGACGCUGAUAGUAAUGUUACUAUCUACAAAGCUCGACUUGUUGCGAAAGGUUUUCGACAAGUUCAAGGAAUUGACUAUGAUGAGACCUUCUCACCCGUAGCGAUGCUUAAGUCUGUCCAAAUCAUGUUAGCAAUUGCCGCAUUUUAUGAUUACGAAAUCUGACAAAUGGACGUCAAAACUGCAAUCCUUAAUGGAUUUCUUAAAGAAGAGUUGUAUAUGAUGCAACCAGAAGGUUUUGUCGAUCCUAAAGGUGCUAACAAAGUGUGUAAACUCCAGCGAUCCAUUUAUGGACUGGUGCAAGCAUCUCGGAGUUGGAAUAUACGCUUUGAUAGUGUGAUCAAAGCAUAUGGUUUUAUACAGACUUCUGGAGAAGCCUGUAUUUACAUGAAAGUGAGUGGGAGCUCUGUAGCAUUUCUAAUAUUAUAUGUGGAUGACAUAUUAUUGAUUGGAAAUAAUACAGAAUUUCCAGAUAGCAUAAAAGGAUAGUUGAAUAAGAAUUUUUCAAUGAAAGACCUCGGUGAAGCUGCUUAUAUAUUAGGCAUCAAGAUCUAUAGAGAUAGAUCAAGACGCUUAAUUGGACUUUCACAAAGCACAUACUUUGAUAAAGUUUUGAAAAAGUUCAAAAUGGAUCAGUCAAAGAAAGGGUUAUUGCCUGUGUUACAAGGUGUGAAAUUGAGUCAGACUCAAUGCCCAACCACUGCAGAAGAUAGAGAGAAAAUCAAAGUCAUUCCCUAUGCCUCAGCCAUAGGUUCUAUCAUGUAUGCAAUGAUGUGUACCUGACCUGAUGUGUGCCUUGCUAUAAGUUUAGUAGGGAGGUACCAAAGUAAUCCAGGAGCAGACCACUGGACAAUGGUCAAGAACAUCCUGAAAUACCUGAAAAGGACUAAGGAUAUGUUUCUCGUUUAUGGAGAUGACAAAGCGCUCAUCGUAAAUGGUUACAUCGAUGCUAGCUUUGACACUGAUUCAGAUGACUCUAAGUUACAAACCGGAUACGUAUUUAUAUUGAAUGGUGGAGCUGUCAGUUAGUGCAGUUCCAAGCAAAGCGUCGUGGCGGUAUAUACGUGUGAAGCGGAGUACAUAGCUACUUCAGAAGCGGCAAAUGAAGGAGUCUGGAUGAAGGAGUUCAUAUCCGAUCUAGGUGUAAUACCUAGUGCAUCGGGUCCAAUGAAAAUCUUUUGUGACGAUACUGGAGAAAUUGCCUUGGCGAAGGAAUCCAGAUUUCACAAGAGAACCAAACACAUCAAGAGAUGCUUCAACUCCAUCCGUGAUCAAGUCAAGGAGGGAGACAUAGAGAUUUGCAAAAUACAUAUGAAUCUGAAUGUUGCAGACCCGUUGACUAAGCCUCUUCCACGAGCAAAACAUGAUCAACACCAAGACUCCAUGGGCGUUAGAAUCAUUACAAUGUAAUCUAGAUUACUGACUCUAGUGCCAGUGGGAGACUGAAGGAAAUAUGCCCUAGAGGCAAUAAUAAAGUUGUUAUUUAUAUUUCCUUAUAUCAUGAUAAAUGUUUAUUAUUCAUGAUAGAAUUGUAUUAACUGGAAACUUGAUACAUGUGUGAAUACAUAGACAAAACAAAGUGUCCCUAGUAAGCCUCUACUAGACUAGCUCGUUAAUCAAAGAUGGUUACGUUUCCUGGCCAUAGACAUGUGUUGUCAUUUGAUGAACGGGAUCACAUCAUUAGGAGAAUGAUGUGAUGGACAAGACCCAUCCAUUAGCUUAGCAUCAUGAUCGCUAAGUUUUAUUGUUAUUGUUUUCUUCACGACUUAUACAUAUUCCUUUGACUAUGAGAUUAUGCAACUCCCGAAUACCGGAGGAAUAACUUAUGUGCUAUCAAAUGUCACAACAUAACUGGGUGAUUAUAAAGAUGCUCUACAGGUAUCUCCAAAGGUGUUUGCUGGGUUGGCAUAGAUCGAGAUUAGGAUUUGCCACUCUGAGUAUUGGAGAGGUAUCUCUGGGCCCUCACGGUAAUGCACAUCAUGAUAAGCCUUGCAAGAAAUGUGACUAAUGAGUUAGUUACGGGAUGAUGCAUUAUGGAACGAGUAAAGAGACUUGCCGAUAACGAGAUUGAACUAGGUAUGAAGAUACCGACGACCGAAUAUCGAGCAAAUAACAUACCGAUGACAAAGGGAAUGAUGUAUGUUGUCAUUGCGAUUUGACCGAUAAAGAUCUUCAUAGAAUAUGUAGGAACCAAUAUGAGCAUCCAGGUUCCACUGUUGGUUAUUGACCGGAGAUGUGUCUCGGUCAUGUCUACAUAGUUCUCGAACCCGUAGGGUCUGCACGCUUAACGUUCGAUGACGAUUUGUAUUAUGAGUUAAGUGUUUUGGUGACCGAAGAUUGUUCGAGUCCCGGAUGAGAUCACGGACAUGACGAGGAGUCUCGAAAUGAUCGAGAGGUAAAGAUUGAUAUAUUGGACGAUAGUAUUCAGAUACCGGAAUGGUUCUGGAGUGUUUCGGGUAUUCUUUGGAGUACCGGGAGGUUACCGGAACCCCCCGGGGGAAGUAAUGGGUCACAUGGGCCAUAGGGGAGAGGCAAGGCAGCCCACAAGGGGGUGCCCCCCAUGGGGAGUCUGAAUUGGCAGGAGGAGGGGGCGCGGCCCCCCUUUCCUUCUCCCUCUCCCUCUCCCUCCCCAUUUCCCCCUCCGAUAGAAGGAAGGGGGCGAAUAGGACUAGGAGUCCAAGUGGGUUUCCCCACUUGGCGCGCCCCCUAGGCCGGUCUCCUCCCCUCUCCCUCCUUUACAUACGGGGGCAGGGGGCACCUCUAAACACAUCAAUUGUUCUUAGUCGUGUGCGGUGCCCCCCUCCACCGUGUACUCCUCCGGUCAUAUUGUCGUAGUGCUUAGGCGAAGCCCUGCGCGGAUCACAUCACCAUCACCGUCACCACGCCGUCAUUCUGACGAAAAUCUCCCUCGACAGUUUGUUGGACCAAGAUUUCGAGGGACGUCAUCGAGCUGAACGUGUGCAGAACUCGGAGGUGUCGUCCGUUCGGUACUUGAUCGGUUGAAUCAAGAAGACAUUCGACUACAUCAACUGCGUUAAACUAACGCUUCCACUUUCGGUCUACGAGGGUACGUGGACACACUCUCCCCCUCUCAUUGCUAUGCAUCUCCUAGAUAGAUCUUGCGUGAUCGUAGGAAUUUUUUUUGAAAUUGCAUGCUAUGUUCCCCAACAUAUGAUGAAUAUUAUCCAAUGUUAUCACCAAUCCAGUGCCUAUGAGUUUUUCACAUAUUGUUCUUACUAAGUUACUACUGUCGUUACUACUAUUACAACUACCAUAAAACUGCUAAUGUUACUAUUACCGUUACUAUCAUUGCCACUGGUAUCAAAUUAUUAUACUAUUGUGCUACUGAUCACUUCGUUGCAGAUAUUUAGUCUCCAGGUGUGGUUGAAUUGACAAAUCAACUGCUUAUACUUGCAAGUAUUCUUUGUCUCCCCUUGUGUCGAAUCAAUAAAUUUGGUUGAAUACUCUACCCUCAAAAACUGUUGCGAUCCCCUAUACUUGUGGGUUAUCACUAUCCACAUACGAGAAACAAUUCCUCGCGAUGAUGAUGGUUGUCGACAAGUGGCGGCCGUACCUGCAGCAGGGAUCGUUUGAGGUCAUCACGGAUCACAAGAGCUUAUGUGCACUCGGAGAGCAACAUUUGGACACUGAGCUGCAACGCAAGGCCAUGUCCAAGUUGGUGGGCCUGCAGUUCACCUUCUGGUACAAGAGAGGGGCGGACAACGUGGCAGCGAAUGCGCUCUCUCGUGUCGACCACCGGCACGCCCUUGACGCGCUCGUUGUGUGUCACCCCCAGUGGCUCCAAGAGGUGGCUAACUCCUAUGAGAUGGAUGGCACCACAUAAGAGCUCCUGCAACAACUGGCAGUCCAUAGCUCGGAUGAUCAAGGUCGCACGCUCCGGCAUGGCAUCAUUCAGCAAGGUGAUCGGCUUUGGAUUGGAGCUAACACUACUCUCCAAACCAAGCUCAUCGCUGCCCUCCAUGUCAGUGCUCUAGGAGGGCACUCCGGCAUCAUAGCGACCUACCAGCGCGUGCGCAAACUAUUUGUGUGGUCUGGCCUCAAGCGCGCCGUCGAGGACUACAUUCAGCAGUGUCGCGCUUGCCAGCAAGCUAAGCACGAGCACCGCCACCCCACCGGCAAGCUUCAGCCUCUAACCAUUCCAUCGGCACUGUGGCACGACGUGACGAUGGAUUUCGUCGAGGGGCUCCCCAACUCCGAGGGCUACCACACGAUCAUGGUGGUGGUAGAUCGUUUCACGAAAUUUUCCCAUCUCGUGCCACUCUGGCAUCCCGUCACCGCGGCGCAUGUAGCUCGUACUUUCUGGGAUUCCAUCAUCAAGCUUCACGGGGUGCCACACUCCAUCGUCUCCGACCAGGACAAGAUCUUCACAAGUGCGAUGCAGCGGGAACUCCUCGCCGCAGCCGGCACUAAGCUCCUCUAGUCCAUCGCCUGCCACCCUCAAACGGAUGGCAAAAGCGAGCGCGUCAAUCAAUGCCUCGAGAUGUAUCUCCGUUGUGCUAUCCGAGAUCAUCUGAAGCAAUGGCAGAAGUGGAUGCCCGCGUCUGAAUUUUGUUGCAACUCCACUCAUCAUGGCUCUCUCCGGUGUUCUCCAUUCAAGGCACUCUAUGACAAUGAGCCAAAUCUGGGAGGGCUACCAGUUUUCCUCAACAAGAUAUCGUCGGACAUGGCUAGCAGCGACUUCGACUAGGCAGCGCAUACACAGAUGCUGCGGGGCCACCUCACCCGCGCUCAGGACCGCUUCAAGAAACAAGCCAACAAGCAGCGCACAGAGCAUGCCUUCACCAUCGGCGACCAAGCCCUCCUCAAGCUUCAACCUUAUGUGCAAGUCUCCGUCGCUAGCCACCCCUGCCAGAAGCUGGCUUACAAGUAUUUCGGCCCGUUCACCAUCCUGGAGCGCAUCGGUACCGUGGCUUACCGCUUGGAGCUGUCGUGGGAUUGCCGCAUCCACCCGGUAUUCCAUGUCUCCCGGUUGAAGCACUUCAUCCCCAACUACUCGCCCAUCUACUCCGAGCUGCCCAAGAUCCCAGACUUGACAACAACACCUCUCAUUCCGGUGGCCAUCCAAGAAAGACACAUGGUCAACAAAGCCUCAGCCUCACUCACCCAAGUCCGAGUUCAGUGGUCUUCACUACCUGCGGACGCCACCACCUGGGAAGAUUACGUAGUCCUGCGCGUGUGCUUUCCAUCAGCCAGCAUCUGGGAAGACGCUGCAUCUCAAGGAGGGGCGCCUGUCACGCCUGUAGUUCAGGGCGCAUAGCCUAAACCUGCAAUGGACAGCGAGUGCACGAAUGGUGCAGCUACAAGUCAAGUUGGGCCAUAGCCCGAGAGCCUCCGGGGCCAAGCCCAUGUAAUAUGAGUGAGCCCGUGUUGGGCGGGUGUGUGUGUGAGACUACUUAAGCAAGUUGUUGCCACUGUUAGGGUUCAUGAUGAAUAACAAAGUGAAUUGAUCCUCUCCCCUCUAUUGCCUCCUCUCACCUAACCUCUCCCUUCCUCAUCCCGAUCCUCUCCCUCUCCCUGAUCCUCCCCAGCCGGGCAUUAAAGUGGGGUGUUGUGGCCUGGCUCCCUUUGGGGAGGGAUCGGUUGGAAAGGUCGUUAUCAGAUGUGGUCGUUCCCAAGAGUCGAUUCCCCUCGCCUUGUCGUCGAGGGGCCCUGGGUUUGGUUGUAAGAGGAUGUUACAGGUCUUGACAAAGAUCUGCAUACCACCAUACAGCUUCCAAACUCCUUAAUGUUGUGAUAGCUGACCCAUUAAAUGUAUUGUCGGGACUCCGAUACCAAUCAACACCUCCCAAGAAGGGACGCGACGAUGACAACGUUGCUGCCAAGGGUUUCCCCGGGUACGCGGCGAUGAGAAAGGAAGGGUAGCCCCCGACGCCCUCUAGGAAGGUCUAGCGGUACCCUCAGGCGCCAACGCGUCGGUGUCGAACAGGCCGACAGGGUUUCUCUCGAUCCCAACCAUCACCCCAGGCGCUCCAGAGCACUCCACAAAUAUCGCCCACCACCCUGCGCCAACACAGUCUUGAAGCCACCCAUGCUGUCUCACCACAGCACCGAGAAGUGGGGCCUCCACAGCGAAGAAGAGUCGGGACUAGGGGCAGCAACAUCGUCGACGUUGCAGGAGGGCCCGACCUCCACCGUCAAUGAUGGUAACCGACCAGACGCAACAGCAAGAGCAUACCAGGCCCACAGGCCACCCGCCGGCAAGGAGCAGCCUCACCACCUCUCCGAUCGUCGGACUACAACCUGCCGAGCUGCACCGCCACCGACAUCACNNNNNNNNNNNNNNNNNNNNNNNNNNNNNNNNNNNNNNNNNNNNNNNNNNNNNNNNNNNNNNNNNNNNNNNNNNNNNNNNNNNNNNNNNNNNNNNNNNNNNNNNNNNNNNNNNNNNNNNNNNNNNNNNNNNNNNNNNNNNNNNNNNNNNNNNNNNNNNNNNNNNNNNNNNNNNNNNNNNNNNNNNNNNNNNNNNNNNNNNNNNNNNNNNNNNNNNNNNNNNNNNNNNNNNNNNNNNNNNNNNNNNNNNNNNNNNNNNNNNNNNNNNNNNNNNNNNNNNNNNNNNNNNNNNNNNNNNNNNNNNNNNNNNNNNNNNNNNNNNNNNNNNNNNNNNGGAACUAUUCAUGAAACUGAAGUCACUCCCUGAUCUUCUUGUGUUGGAGUGUAGUCGUCCAGAUCUUGCUGGUUGAGAAUGCACAUGCUUUGUUCCUUUCAUGCCCAAGUGUACGUCCAUAUUCAAGAGAUGCAUGUUUAAUGGAUUUAGGUGCUCCAUUCAUGGUGAUCCCUUUAAAGGUAGGUUGCUUUGUCAAUUAUUAUUUUGACCAUGAACCCAUGAUUUACAUUCCACCAGAGAGUGUUUCCACGAAUCCUAAGCCCCACAUAUAGAACAUGCACCCGAACUGGCCAUUUUACCAUGCCGACGCACAUCAUUCGUAGGUAAAGAAUGCAAAGCUAGGCGCCACUGGAAGAAUCUCAUUUUUUCCGGGACAUAAGUGUUCCAAAGUGAUUUCCAAGUUUCUCCAUCAUAUGAAGCGUUUGAAGACCGUGUUCUCGCUUCCAGGCUUCCUGCCAAUCUUUGUGACGCCACUUGGUGCUUACGAUCAUGUGAUAACCGGAGCAGUGAAACAAAACUCCAGACCGCUCAAAAUUCCACGACCAAAAGUCUACAAAUAUGGUGAGCAUCAAUUGGAAGGUAAGUAGCCUGCAUAACGUCAAUUUUCCAUGCAACGCUUGUUCCAUCAAUAAGAUCUGACCAAAUGUGGGGGAUCUGCUGCCAAAGAAACAAUUGGUCGCGUGAGUUCUUUCAGUGGCAACCAAUUGUAGUUCCAAAUCUCAGUGGAUAACUCAUUACCAAUUCUACAAAUAAGGUCUUUAACUAAAACAUCCCUCCCCUCCAAUAUAGCUCUCCACACUUGAGAAUGGUGAGAACCAACUUGUGCAUGCAAGAUAAGAGGACGAUUGCAAAAUUCUCCAUGCUUUCCACCCUUGAACUUGUUUUCCAUAAUCUAUCUUAUGUACUUUGAAGGCGCCGUUUUUGGAUGAGCCGAUAUCAGAAGGCAUCCCCAAAUAUUUCUCUGUUACUGCCUACUCCCUCUAUUCACAAAUAUAAGAUGUUUUGGAUAUACUUCAAUAAACUAAAACAUGUCUAUAUACAUCCGAUUCAGAAAAGAAGUUAGAACAUCUUAUAUUUGUGAACGGAGGGAGUAGUAAUUAACGAUGUUUAUGGCUUAGGCUUUAUUUAGUAAAAUAAAACUAGGCCGAGAGGACCCUUUAGUUCUGAAGAAACAUACAGCACCAUGAGCAAACAAAGACCAGAUAUUUCCCUAAAAAAACAAAGACCAGACAUGUUUUUGAAAUGUCAAAAAAAAAACCAGACAUGUUUUCAGAAUACGCGGUGCUCCAAACAUGUAGAAAAAUAUAAUAGCAUACAUACCUGGUGGAGUAAUACAGAUAGAUAUCUCAGAAUAAUAAUGUGAUUUCGCCAAUGAUACAUAGGAAUCAGUUUGAGUUCCACCAGUGGUAAAUAUGAAUCAUUUCCAGCACACUAAUGAAAGUUGAUCUAGGGCCUCCUAAUGACGGAGAAUAAUAAUACGGUGCUGCUAAGCAGCAUAAUGAAACUGGACAACCAACUUCAUCAAGCUCAGAGUGCGGCUUUCGGUGAGCUGAUGGUCGUCGCUUCACCAAGAGAUAGUCA